CCCACUGAUUCUCUAUUUCUCACUCUCGUGCUAAUGCCCUUAAGACCGUCAGGUAUAUUUUCUAGCCUUCACACCGCUCACCUACUCGUCGUCGUUGUGGGUUUUCAUCGCCAACACUAGAGGUCGCCAGAAUCUUGGUAUUUUGAGUUCGAGCUUUGUAGGAGUUUAAGUAGAAGGUGUGUUGUCCGACGUUACAAAAGUUUGGCUUUGGUGAUUUUGGUACAGUUUUGGGUUGGAAUUGCAGUUUUCGGGAAGAAUUUAGGUGUUGACCAUUGGAAUUAAAAUCUGUUAUAUGAAAGAUUUUAGAGACUGAAAUUUUUGGAACGACUGUUGAUCAAGGUUCGUUUUGGGUAAGUGCAAGGACAUUUCGGCAAGUGACGGAAGGAAUUCGUGACCGUGCC